rnacentral:rRNA from 1 species
UACGUAGGGCGCGAGCGUUGUCCGGAAUUAUUGGGCGUAAAGAGCUCGUAGGCGGUUUGUCGCGUCGGUUGUGAAACCCAAGGCUCAACCUUGGGCCUGCAAUCGAUACGGGCAGACUAGAGUACUGCAGGGGAGACUGGAAUUCCUGGUGUAGCGGUGGAAUGCGCAGAUAUCAGGAGGAACACCGGUGGCGAAGGCGGGUCUCUGGGCAGUAACUGACGCUGGAGGAGCGAAAGCGUGGGGAGCGAACAGGAUUAG